AAGCGUACAAGGUGGAUGCCUUGGCAAUCAGAGGCGAAGAAGGACGUGCUAAUCUGCGAAAAGCUUGGAUGAGUCGAUAAGAGGCGUUUAAUCCAAGAUAUCCGAAUGGGGAAACCCAGUAGAUGAAGAAUCUACUAUCAACAAGUGAAUUCAU
rnacentral:sRNA from 1 species